rnacentral:rRNA from 1 species
ACAUACGCUGGAAUGACGGGAAAUACGUUCAGCCCUUCGGGUCGGCGUACAGGUGCUGCAUGGCUGUCGUCAGCUCGUGCUGUGAAGUGUUGGGUUAAGUCCCGCAACGAGCGCAACCCCUGCUAUCUGUUGCCAGCAAGUAAUGUUGGGGACUCAGAUGGAACUGCCGGUGACAAACCGGAGGAAGUGGGGACGACGUCAAGUCAUCAUGGCCCUUAUGUCCUGGGCUACACACGUGCUACAAUGGCCGGUACAGAGCGCAGCGAAGCCGCGAGGCAAAGCGAAUCGCAAAAAGCCGGUCUCAGUACGGAUUGGAGUCUGAAACCCGACUCCAUGAAGUUGGAAUCGCUAGUAAUCGCGCAUCAGCAUGGCGCGGUGAAUACGUUCCCGGGCCUU